AAAUUACGAGAAUCCACCAAUGUGCCCAGCAGUUUGUUUAUCAGAAAGAGCUGGAUGUUACUGCGAAGCACCUUAUGUCCGAAGUGAUAGCGGUGAAUGCGUUUUAACCAGUCAAUGCAAAACGCAAACUUGCUCCCGCCUACACGAAAAGUACCUAGGUUGUAGCAAUGGAUGCCAGACUACUUGCCAGAAUUAUAAAAACCCACCUAUUUGCACAAUGCAGUGCUCAACAGCAAAGGCAGGUUGUUACUGUGAAUCGCCUUAUGUCCGAAGUGCUAACGGUGACUGCGUUUUAACUAGCCAGUGUUAACC